rnacentral:rRNA from 1 species
CGUAAUCGGGGGUCGACUAGCCAUGCGAGUCGAUGUAGCAAUACAUGGCGUACUGCUCAGUAACACGUGGACAACCUACCCUUGAGACGGGGAUAAACCCGGGAAACUGGGUAUAAUACCCGAUAGAUCUCGGCUGCUGGAAUGCAUCGAGCUUGAAAGCUCCGGCGCUCAAGGAUGGGUCUGCGGCCUAUCAGGUAGUAGUGGGUGUAGUGUACCUACUAGCCUACGACGGGUACGGGUUGUGAGAGCAAGAGCCCGGAGAUGGAUUCUGAGACACGAAUCCAGGCCCUACGGGGUGCAGCAGGCGCGAAAACUUUACAAUGCUGGCAACAGCGAUAAGGGAACCUCGAGUGCCAGGUUACAAAUCUGGCUGUCGUGAUGCCUAAAAAGCAUUGCAUAGCAAGGGCCGGGCAAGACCGGUGCCAGCCGCCGCGGUAACACCGGCGGCUCGAGUGGUAACCGUUAUUAUUGGGUCUAAAGGGUCUGUAGCCGGCCGGAUAAGUCUCUUGAGAAAUCUGGCAGCUUAACUGUCAGGCUUUCAGGAGAUACUGUCUGGCUCGAGGCCGGGAGAGGUGAGAGGUACUUCAGGGGUAGGGGUGAAAUCUUGUAAUCCUUGAAGGACCACCAGUGGCGAAGGCGUCUCACCAGAACGGACCUGACGGCAAGGGACGAAAGCUAGGGGCACGAACCGGAUUAGAUACCCGGGUAGUCCUAGCCGUAAACGAUACUCGCUAGGUGUCGGCCACGGUGCGACCGUUGUCGGUGCCGUAGGGAAGCCGUGAAGCGAGCCACCUGGGGAAGUACGGCCGCAAGGCUGAAACUUAAAGGAAUUGGCGGGGGAGCACCACAACGGGUGGAGCUUGCGGUUUAAUUGGAUUCAACGCCGGG